GGCAAGCGUUAUCCGGAAUUAUUGGGCGUAAAGCGUCCGCAGGCGGCUUUUCAAGUCUGCUGUUAAAGCGUGGAGCUUAACUCCAUCAUGGCAGUGGAAACUGAAAGGCUUGAGUAUGGUAGGGGCAGAGGGAAUUCCCGGUGUAGCGGUGAAAUGCGUAGAUAUCGGGAAGAACACCAGUGGCGAAGGCGCUCUGCUGGGCCAUUACUGACGCUCAUGGACGAAAGCCAGGGGAGCGAAAGGGAUUAGAUACCCCUGUAGUCCUGGCCGUAAACGAUGAACACUAGGUGUCGGGGGAAUCGACCCCUUCGGUGUCGUAGCUAACGCGUUAAGUGUUCCGCCUGGGGAGUACGCACGCAAGUGUGAAACUCAAAGGAAUUGACGGGGGCCCGCACAAGCGGUGGAGUAUGUGGUUUAAUUCGAUGCAACGCGAAGAACCUUACCAGGGUUUGACAUCCUGCGAACCUCUUAGAAAUUUGAGGGUGCCUUCGGGAAUGCAGUGACAGGUGGUGCAUGGCUGUCGUCAGCUCGUGUCGUGAGAUGUUGGGUUAAGUCCCGCAACGAGCGCAACCCACGUUUUUAGCUGCCAGCAUUUAGUUGGGCACUCUAGAAAGACCGCCGGGGAUAAACCGGAGGAAGGUGUGGAUGACGUCAAGUCAUCAUGCCCCUUACACCCUGGGCUACACACGUACUACAAUGCUACGGACAAAGGGCAGCAAACUCGCGAGAGCUAGCAAAUCCCAUAAACCGUGGCUCAGUUCAGAUCGUAGGCUGCAACUCGCCUACGUGAAGUAGGAAUCGCUAGUAAUCGCAGGUCAGCAUACUGCGGUGAAUACGUUCCCGGGCCUGGUACACACCGCCCGUCACACCAUGGAUGUUGGCCAUGCCCGAAGUCGUUACUCCACCCUUGUGGAGGAGGACGCCGAAGG
rnacentral:rRNA from 1 species